UCAGCUUUAAAGUGUUGGUGUGAUCAAGAAAAGGGUGGAUGGAUGAGUGUUUUUGUUUUGUUUUGAAAGAUGCAAAUGACGCAUGAAUGUUCUAUUUUUUAUUUUUAUUUUUUUUUUAAGCAAAGCUCUUUAGUUAAUCGUGUUGUUUUGUUACGAGAAAUACUUAACGAUUUAUGUUUGCAAUCAAAGAUAAAGGAAAGCACACUAGAGUGAAUCGCAAAAUUUAUAUUCAUCCUUUGAAGGGAAAUCAUACAUGUUAUAAGUACAUAGGAAUUGUAGAGUACAAGUAGUUG
rnacentral:lncRNA from 1 species